GCUUGGGUAGCUCAGUCUGUUGAGCGUCUGACUUCGGCUCAGGUCAUGAUCUCCCAGUCUGUGGGCUCGAGCCCCGCAUCGGGCU
rnacentral:tRNA from 1 species